AAACUUUCAACAACGGAUCUCUUGGUUCUCGCAUCGAUGAAGAGCGCAGCGAAAUGCGAUACCUAGUGUGAAUUGCAGCCAUCGUGAAUCAUCGAGUUCUUGAACGCACAUUGCGCCCUCUGGUAUUCCGGAGGGCAUGCCUGUUUGAGCGUCGU
rnacentral:rRNA from 1 species